GAUGAACGCUAGCUACAGGCUUAACACAUGCAAGUCGAGGGGAAACGACAUCGAAAGCUUGCUUUUGAUGGGCGUCGACCGGCGCACGGGUGAGUAACGCGUAUCCAACCUGCCCACCACUUGGGGAUAACCUUGCGAAAGUAAGACUAAUACCCAAUGACGUCCAUAGAAGACAUCUGAAAUGGAUUAAAGAUUUAUCGGUGAUGGAUGGGGAUGCGUCUGAUUAGCUUGUUGGCGGGGUAACGGCCCACCAAGGCGACGAUCAGUAGGGGUUCUGAGAGGAAGGUCCCCCACAUUGGAACUGAGACACGGUCCAAACUCCUACGGGAGGCAGCAGUGAGGAAUAUUGGUCAAUGGGCGAGAGCCUGAACCAGCCAAGUAGCGUGCAGGAUGACGGCCCUAUGGGUUGUAAACUGCUUUUAUAAGGGAAUAAAGUGAGUCUCGUGAGACUUUUUGCAUGUACCUUAUGAAUAAGGACCGGCUAAUUCCGUGCCAGCCGCCGCGGUAA
rnacentral:rRNA from 1 species